rnacentral:lncRNA from 1 species
ACAAAAACGCUCCCCGAAUCAAAACAAAACUUGUGGGCGUUUCUGUUCUUGUUCACGGAACGGGAGCGUAAGUCUAAAACCCUACAAAAGAAAAAGGAGAAGAAGAACGGGAACGUGACACCGUGACUACAACAAGAAAGACGACACCCUGAACUGAAACCCUGAAACCUUAAAAAAAGAAUAAAGAAGAAUGGGCAUCAAAAUGUCUACCACAGAACUGCGUCUGAAUAGGCACUGCAGGAAAUAUAGCAAAUUGUGGGAGUCAGGGGCUCAGCUAAGCUUAAGCAACUUCCGAAUGUGGUCUAAAAUGGUUCCCAAAUGCAAGAGAAAACCUGCAGCUCAAAACAUCACGUGAGAAUACAAAAAACAAAAGUGUUCCUGUUAUCUAGACCACAGCCUGGAAAGUUGUGAGUUUUUUAAUCAACAGAAAUCCUGACUCUUGAUGAUGUCCGUGGUCCAGACCCUCAGCGGUUAUCCACACUAAUAUCCACCUGUACAACAACAGCUGCACCAGUUUGAAAUGAGAAUUGGAACCAAAUGCUGUCAUAUUUGUCAAUGACUGUUUGAUUGUCCUUACUUGACUGGAUGUCGGGUUAUCAUCCGUGUUCCAGUUGAAACUGUAAAAAGAUCAGGAUUACCAAACCAUGGUGGCAGCCUUUUUUAAUCUUUUCUAUUUUUUGAUGGGGAGCAGCUAAUAUGAGGUCUGAAUUAUUAAUUCCAAUACACUGCACUUCAUGUCUAUUAUAUAACAGAUGCUAAUGACAGAUGGCCCAAAGGCGUAGUCAGGAUUUUAGGAGGUGUGGGAAAUGGGUUAGGUUCCCAGAGCUUUCAUAGAUGUAUCAUCAGUGACAUUUCUGUUAUGCUGCAGAUUUAACUGAAUUGUUUCUUGUAAAUGCCCCUUGUUCAUAACCAAAUCAAUAAAUUUACAAAUAUAUACAAAACAUGAACUCGUAAGAAAUAAGAUAGUCGGGUGAGUUUUAAGUGGGCGAGAAAUAAUAUGAAUAUACAGGAGUUGGAAGAGAUAAUCGGUGCAUAGUGCUGAGAUCUGUGGCACCGAAGGUAGUGGUGCCAAAGUAAGUGCCCGGCCAGGUACCAGUGGAAAAAUCUUAAAAAUGAUACCCAUGUUUCUCAUUCAUGUGUAUCUAUGGUCUCUUUCUAUGGACUACACCUGUGAAGACUGAAAUAAAGUCUGUAAACACUGA